rnacentral:rRNA from 1 species
GAUGAACGCUAGCGGCAGGCCUAACACAUGCAAGUCGAGGGAGGAGCUUUCGGGCUUCGACCGGCGUACGGGUGCGUAACGCGUAUACAAUCUGCCUUUCACAUAGGGAUAGCCCGAAGAAAUUUGGAUUAAUACCUAAUGGUAUAUAGGAGUGGCAUCACAUUUAUAUUAAAGCUGAGGCGGUGAAAGAUGAGUAUGCGUUCUAUUAGCUAGUUGGAGAGGUAACGGCUCCCCAAGGCGACGAUAGAUAGGGGUUCUGAGAGGGAUAUCCCCUACACUGGUACUGAGAUACGGACCAGACUCCUACGGGAGGCAGCAGUGAGGAAUAUUGGACAAUGGUCGGAAGACUGAUCCAGCCAUGCCGCGUGCAGGAAGACGGCCUUAUGGGUGGUAAACUGCUUUUGCAGGGGAAGAAUAAGGACUACGAGUAGUUUGAUGACGGUACUCUGCGAAUAAGCAUCGGCUAACUCCGUG